GCGAACGGGUGAGUAACACGUGGGUGAUCUGCCCUGCACUUCGGGAUAAGCUUGGGAAACUGGGUCUAAUACCGGAUAGGAGCCAUCUUUAGUGUGGUGGUUGGAAAGUUUUUUCGGUGUAGGAUGAGCUCGCGGCCUAUCAGCUUGUUGGUGGGGUAAUGGCCUACCAAGGCGGCGACGGGUAGCCGGCCUGAGAGGGUGUACGGCCACAUUGGGACUGAGAUACGGCCCAG
rnacentral:rRNA from 1 species